rnacentral:rRNA from 1 species
GACGAACGCUGGCGGCGUGCUUAACACAUGCAAGUCGAACGGAAAGGCCCUGCUUUUGUGGGGUGCUCGAGUGGCGAACGGGUGAGUAACACGUGAGUAACCUGCCCUUGACUUUGGGAUAACUUCAGGAAACUGGGGCUAAUACCGGAUAGGAGCUCCUGCUGCAUGGUGGGGGUUGGAAAGUUUCGGCGGUUGGGGAUGGACUCGCGGCUUAUCAGCUUGUUGGUGGGGUAGUGGCUUACCAAGGCUUUGACGGGUAGCCGGCCUGAGAGUGUGACCGGCCACAUGGGGACUGAGAUACGGCCCAGACUCCUACGGGAGGCAGCAGUGGGGAAUAUUGCACAAUGGGCGGAAGCCUGAUGCAGCAACGCCGCGUGCGGGAUGACGGCCUUCGGGUUGUAAACCGCUUUCGCCUGUGACGAAGCGUGAGUGACGGUAAUGGGUAAAGAAGCACCGGCUAACUACGUG